UACGUAGGGGGCUAGCGUUGUCCGGAAUCAUUGGGCGUAAAGAGCGUGUAGGCGGCCCGGUAAGUCCGCUGUAAAAGUCAAAGGCUCAACCUUUGAAUGUCAGUGGAUACUGCCGGGCUAGAGUCCGGAAGAGGCGAGUGGAACUCCUGGUGUAGCGGUGGAAUGCGCAGAUAUCAGGAAGAACACCAACGGCGAAGGCAGCUCGCUGGGACGGUACUGACGCUGAGGCGCGAAAGCUAGGGGAGCAAACGGG
rnacentral:rRNA from 1 species